AUUGAACGCUGGCGGCAGGCCUAACACAUGCAAGUCGAACGAGUGGCGGACGGGUGAGUAAUGUCUGGGAAACUGCCCGAUGGAGGGGGAUAACUACUGGAAACGGUGGCUAAUACCGCAUACUAUCGGAUGAACCCAGAUGGGAUUAGCUAGUAGGUGGGGUAAAGGCUCACCUAGGCGACGAUCUCUAGCUGGUCUGAGAGGAUGAUCAGCCACACUGGGACGGAGACACGGCCCAGACUCCUACGGGAGGCAGCAGUGGGGAAUCUUGGGCAAUGGGCGAAAGUCGGAGGGAGCAACGCCGCGUGAGUGAAGAAGGUUUUCGGGUUGUAAAGCUCUGUUGUUGGGGAGGCGGUAUCUAACGAGAAAGCCACGGCUAACUACGUGCCAGCAGCCGCGGUAAUAC
rnacentral:rRNA from 1 species